rnacentral:rRNA from 1 species
GAGUUUGAUCGUGGCUCAGGACGAACGCUGGCGGCGUGCUUAACACAUGCAAGUCGAACGAGAAUCUACUGAAAGAGUUUUCGGACAAUGGAAGUAGAGGAAAGUGGCGGACGGGUGAGUAACGCGUGAGGAACCUGCCUUGAAGAGGGGACAACAGUUGGAAACGACUGCUAAUACCGCAUGAUGCAUAAGGGUCGCAUGAUUCUUAUGCCAAAGAUUUAUCGCUUCAAGAUGGCCUCGCGUCUGAUUAGCUAGUUGGCGGGGUAACGGCCCGCCAAGGCGACGAUCAGUAGCCGGACUGAGAGGUUGAACGGCCACAUUGGGACUGAGAUACGGCCCAGACUCCUACGGGAGGCAGCAGUAGGGAAUAUUGGGCAAUGGGCGCAAGCCUGACCCAGCAACGCCGCGUGAAGGAGAAGGCUUUCGGUAUGUAAACUUCUAUCAGCAGGGAAGAAAAUGACGGUACCUGACUAAGAAGCCCGGCUAACUACGUGUCAGCAGCCGCAGUAAC